rnacentral:lncRNA from 1 species
AUGCUGUGGAGAGCCGCUGUGCCCACUGCUGUCAGGCUGGAGGGAAUGACACCAACUGCUGUGUUUGUGACAGGCGCUCAGCUCUCUGUGUGGAAGCCCCCCAGACCCCAGUCAGGAGACGACCAGGAAUCGGACCUGGAUAUGUCCUCCAGAGCUCUGAAUCAAACCUCGGCUGCCUUGCCCAUUUCUCUGUUGCUGGCGCUGGGGUUGGCUCUGGCUGUUUUUGCCUUGGUCAAAGCUCAUGCCCGCAAAAGGUGUUGCUGGGGCCAAAGCUAUGAAAGACUGAGUGGCAGUGCCAGUAUCAAUAUGCCCCAUGGUGUGCCUGAGCCGGACAGCGGCGAUGAGGUGGAUGUGGUGUACACCAGUAGAGGUGGAUCGAUCUAUCGACGUACAGCUUCAUCCAUGAGCAGGACACUGAUGCAGACCAGGAUGUAGAUGAGAGCACUUAUCUCAACCAGUCUUAAAUAUGUCCAAACUAGAACUUGCAGUACGUGAGGAAUGUGGCAGGUGAAUUCAGUUUAGUUAAGUUUAGUUCAGAAGAUGUGGAGGUAUGUUUCUUCUUGAGUUCUGGUGUUUAUUUCAUUCAACAAAGUGCCUGUAUCUUUAUAAUGCACAUUCUUAGUUGAGGCUGGAAAAAAAAGUUAAUAAAUAUUUGUGUAUGCCGGAUGUAUGUGUGGUACCAGGCACAGAGAAUACCUGCUUUUAAAGGGCAGAGUUGUGACCAACUUUUACUUCCCCAAUCCAGAUCCUCCAGGACGCCGGCCAGAAGUGGGAGGGGCACCCUGCUCAACAGGCCGAAAAGGUUAUGCAUACUAAAUGGGCCCGGCCUUGUACAGGGUGGGUGUUGCUGCACAGAGCAGAGGUUAAAAACAAUUUUCAUCCAAAACUCACAAUAUAGCACUCUCACUGCAGGUGAUCCUUAAAUGCCAAAAUCAACAGUUAAACAACAUAUCCUCAGGAAAAGGAGGGUAACAAACAGUGGCUGGUCUUUUCCUUUUGAGAAAACAAAUAAAACAAAUUAGUUGCCAGUCUAACCAUUAAUUAUAUUGUUAAUGUUUAAAAAAAUUUAACAAACAAACUAUAGGCCUACUUUCCAGGGAUUAGGUAUUUGUAUUGAGCCAGGCAAACUUUUAGCGUGUCAUGAUCACUGGCUGCUUAUCGCAUGAUUGGGUCAAGUGACCACACACAUACACACAGACUCCCACAUAUGUAAGUGACUUUUUCUGUUUUUACUCGAUAUUAAAGAGGUAUUUGUGAACAUUGUGAAGCAAUUGUGAAAGUGAAAUCAUGAAAUGAAUCCAUCCUCAUGCCAUCAUUACACCUGUAGAAGUAGCUGAGUCACUGAAUUCCUUGAAACACCCUGAUUAGACACACCUACCACUCAUCACACUGUUUGCCUUAUUGCACAAAGCACAGACGCUGCUCAUCAUUUGAUCUGUCUGUCACCUGCACU